rnacentral:rRNA from 1 species
CUACGGGCGGCAGCAGUGGGGAAUAUUGCACAAUGGGCGCAAGCCUGAUGCAGCCAUGCCGCGUGUAUGAAGAAGGCCUUCGGGUUGUAAAGUACUUUCAGCGGGGAGGAAGGGAGUAGAGUUAAUACCUUUGCUCAUUGACGUUACCCGCAGAAGAAGCACCGGCUAACUCCGUGCCAGCAGCCGCGGUAAUACGGAGGGUGCAAGCGUUAAUCGGAAUUACUGGGCGUAAAGCGCACGCAGGCGGUUUGUUAAGUCAGAUGUGAAAUCCCCGGGCUCAACCUGGGAACUGCAUCUGAUACUGGCAAGCUUGAGUCUCGUAGAGGGGGGUAGAAUUCCAGGUGUAGCAGUGAAAUGCGUAGAGAUCUGGAGGAAUACCGGUGGCGAAGGCGGCCCCCUGGACGAAGACUGACGCUCAGGUGCGAAAGCGUGGGGAGCAAACAGGAUUAGAUACCCCAGUAGUC